rnacentral:rRNA from 1 species
AGUGAACGCUGGCGGUAGGCCUAACACAUGCAAGUCGAACGAGUGGCGGACGGGUGAGGAAUACCUCGGUAUCUACUCUAUCGUGGGGGAUAACUUCGGGAAACUUACGCUAAUACCGCAUACGAUCGAAUGAGCCGAGGUGGGAUUAGCUAGUUGGCGGGGUAAAGGCUCACCAAGGCGACGAUCCGUAGCUGGUCUGAGAGGAUGAUCAGCCACACUGGAACUGAGACACGGUCCAGACUCCUACGGGAGGCAGCAGUGGGGAAUAUUGCACAAUGGGCGCAAGCCUGAUGCAGCCAUGCCGCGUGUGUGAAGAAGGCCUUCGGGUUGUAAAGCCCUUUUGUUGAGAAGGCGGUACCCACAGAAGAAGCACCGGCUAACUUCGUGCCAGCAGCCGCGGUAAUAC